GCAGUUGCUCACAGCACAGAGAGCAAGCAGCAACUCCUGCACUUUUUUUUUCUUUUAAACUCUGCAUAUCUACAGUUUGUCCACAAAGGGGAGUUGUAGGAACAAGGCAGCAAAUUUCUUCCAAACCUCAGUCCUGAAGAAAAAUGCCUGUAGUCACUGAGGGUCCCUUCUUUUGCUAGGACAUCUCCUUGGAAUGGCAGCUGUGGCUGAACUGCCAAAGCUGACUGACAGCCGGUACCCAGCCUUGAACCAAAACAACUGCUUCCAGGAAAAGCAUCCUGUUCUAAGAAAUCACAUUCCAAAUCUCAUGAAGAAUUGUGUGUGAGAAUCUCACACUGAGGCAUAUGACGUUUUUUGGCGUUACCAGUUUGUUUUCUGCAGUUCAAGAUGUCCAAAAUCUUCCAUUUUAUGGAAUCAUUCUUCUGCUGUAUUUGUGGAGGAAAGGUACAGAAUUUCUUGACCCAUUUUACCUGACAUUGAGAGACUCCACACGUGCUCUUCUUCCAUUAAACUUUAUCUUCAUCACUUUUGUAUAGGAUUUUUGCAGGAUGUGUGACAAGGACUUUGCUACUCCACUGGAUCAGAGGAAUCUGUCCUAGAGCUGUCUUUGAAUAGUUUGCUUGUCUGCAUUCACCAUCUAUCUUUCAACAAUCAGCAGAAAAGAAAAGAAGCCGAGUAAUGCUGCUGGUUAGAAGUUUUCUUCACUGUUCACUGAAAAUGAGCACAUAGUCUGAAGCCAGCAGAGGGGUCUGAGGAGAGUGAAUACAGUCUGCAAAAUAGUAGAU
rnacentral:lncRNA from 7 species